CUGAGCCGCGGGCGGUCCCCCCUCGGCGGCGGCGGCGGCCCCGUGCGCGCAGCGCCCCAGCGGCCGGGCCGGGGGCAGAGCGGAAGGGGGGCGGCAGCACAGCGCAGAGCCCCGCGGCCAGCACCUGCCGCCCGCCUCCUCGGCACGCUGAUUGGUGGAGGACGGCGCCGCCUUCGUUCAGAUUGGACGCCAGGAGGUUGAGAGGCAGCGGGAGCAGCCUGUAGAGAGGGCGGACGGCGAACAACAAGGCGAUGGCGGCCGUUGAUUGGGGGAAACGGUCCCGGCGAGGGCCCGCCUACCAACAGGAGGGCCGGCCGGUACAGCUCCUUCUCUACAGGCCACAGGCUUUACCUACACUUCAUUCCCACCCCGCUGUACCAGGGCCGUGUUUGAUGCAGUCCCGCUACAGCCCGAAUCCUGCCACAGCCCUGACACUGAGGUACAGCUCUGCCCCGCUCCGUCAGAGAUGCUACGGGUUGAGGGGAAUAGCUGAGGCUAUCUCCAGUCUCCAUCUCCAGCUGUCACCAUCACCACAGGACACAGGCGCUUUUCCCAACUGGCUGCAAGGACCAGAGAAGCCUGCCUGGAUAAAGAAGUAUCAAAUAAAGAAGUAUCAAGGGCAUUUUUAAAUUUAUGGUCUGCACAAGUUUUACUGGCUGGGAAGAGACAGGAAUUCCCAGAAUAGAAGGAAGAUCCUUCCCUUUUUUCAACAUUGGUUUUCUUGCUUCUUGAUUUUACCCAUUAAAUACUUAUUUUACCACAUCACACACUGGUUAUUUACUCCAGAAUUUCAGAACACAAAUUUGCAAGUAUGUAUGGUAGCUGGAUGAUGCUUCAUUUCCCAAUUUCCAACACUUAAAAAAAAAAAAAAAAAAAAAAAAACGCGAAUUGCUUCAUAUCCAAAGCCACACACUAGCUCACAUUAUAGCACAGUAAUUUUUCUAGCAGAGCUUUACGGUUUCAAAUCUGCAAGCCUAAAUUACGAAGCAUCUAAUUUGCAGUAAAAUUGUCCUAAUUCAUGCUAAAUAAACACAAACUCAGAACAGCAGACUGAAACCUAU